GAUGAACGCUGGCGGCGUGCCUAAUACAUGCAAGUCGAGCGAACAGACGAGGAGCUUGCUCUUCUGACGUUAGCGGCGGACGGGUGAGUAACACGUGGAUAACCUACCUAUUAGACUGGGAUAACUUCGGGAAACCGGAGCUAAUACCGGAUAAUAUAUUGAACCGCAUGGUUCAAUAGUUAAAGACGGUUUUGCUGUCACUUAUAGAUGGAUCCGCGCCGCAUUAGCUAGUUGGUAAGGUAACGGCUUACCAAGGCGACGAUGCGUAGCCGACCUGAGAGGGUGAUGGGCCACACUGGAACUGAGACACGGUCCAGACUCCUACGGGAGGCAGCAGUAGGGAAGCGUCCGCAAUGGGCGGAAGCCUGACGGAGCAACGCCGCGUGAGUGAUGAAGGUCUUCGGAUCGUAAAACUCUGUUAUUAGGGAAGAACAAAUGUGUAAGUAACUAUGCACGUCUUGACGGUACCUAAUCAGAAAGCCACGGCUAACUACGUG
rnacentral:rRNA from 1 species